GGAGGGAACAGCUCAGUGGUAGAGCACCUGCUUAGCAUGCACAAGAUCCUGGGUUCAAUCACCAGUACCACCA
rfam:Camelus ferus unplaced genomic scaffold scaffold1103, whole genome shotgun sequence.